UGACGCACAUUGCGCUGUCGGUUUUCCUGGCAGCAUGUUUGUCUGAGUGUCAGCGGCACCCACCUUGUCUGGCAAUGUCCAGGACAGAAUUUGGAGGUUGGAGUCCUGUGUUUGGAACUGGCUCGACCCUGAAAUGGUAGUGUUUGUGGCAUGCGUGGGACAGGGUUUGCUUGCACGAGUAUAUAGCUAUUGGAACUUGGCAUUUGCAAAGUUUGACCUUUGUCCCAAAUUUUCCCUGAUCUCAGCUCAAGUAAGGGGACCCGCUGAAUUUAAGCAUAUUAAUACGCGGAGGAAAAGAAACUAACUAGGAUUGGUCCAGUAACGGCGAGUGAAGCGCCAUUAGCCCCUGAUGUGAAUCGGCGUUUGUCGAAUUGUGGUUGCCAUUUCAUUCAGCUGGUGGACCAAGUCUCCUGGAACGGGGCAGCAGAGAGGGUGAGACUCCCGCUCGUCCACAUGCGUGAGAUUUGGCUGGAGAGUCGAGUUGUUUGGGAUUGCAGCUCUAAUUUGGUGGUAAAUUCCAUCCAAGGCUAAAUACUGGUGAGAGACCGAUAGCGAACAAGUACCGUGAGGGAAAGAUGCAAAGCCGCGCGAAAGCGCUGUCAAAGAGUACCUGAACUUGCUGAAAUGGAAGCGAAGGAAACCAGUGCUUGCCAACCUGCACUUCCCCUGUUGCUUGCAGCAGGGGCGCUGCUGCUGGCGUUGUUCCGGUUGGCGAUCAGGAGCGGAUGAUGAUGGCGCUGUGGGUUGCC
rnacentral:rRNA from 1 species